GUUGUAUGGUUAAGUGACUAAGCGUACACGGUGGAUGCCUUGGCAGUCAGAGGCGAUGAAAGACGUAGUAACUUGCGAUAAGCCCAGAUUAGGUAGUAACAACCAUUUGAGUCUGGGAUUUCUGAAUGGGGAAACCCACGUGCAUAAGCACGUAUCCUUACCUGAAUACAUAGGGUAAGGAGGCGAACCGGGGGAACUGAAACAUCUAAGUACCCCGAGGAAAAGAAAUCAACCGAGAUUCCGAAAGUAGCGGCGAGCGAAAUUGGACUAGCCCUUAAGCUUUACACGCGUUAGACGAACGGUCUGGAAAGUCCGACGAUACAGGGUGAUAGUCCCGUAGUUGACGACGUGUGUUCAGUGAAAUCGAGUAGGGCGGGACACGUGAUAUCCUGUCUGAAUAUGGGGGGACCAUCCUCCAAGGCUAAAUACUACUGACUGACCGAUAGUGAACCAGUACCGUGAGGGAAAGGCGAAAAGAACCCCUGUGAGGGGAGUGAAAUAGAACCUGAAACCGUGUACGUACAAGCAGUAGGAGCAGGCUUUGUCCUGUGACUGCGUACCUUUUGUAUAAUGGGUCAGCGACUUAUAUUCAGUGGCAAGGUUAACCAUCUAGGGGAGCCGUAGGGAAACCGAGUCUUAACUGGGCGUUCAGUCUCUGGAUAUAGACCCGAAACCAGGUGAUCUAGCCAUGGGCAGGUUGAAGGUUGAGUAACAUCAACUGGAGGACCGAACCGACUAAUGUUGAAAAAUUAGCGGAUGACUUGUGGCUAGGGGUGAAAGGCCAAUCAAACCUGGAGAUAGCUGGUUCUCCCCGAAAGCUAUUUAGGUAGCGCCUCGGACGAAUACUACUGGGGGUAGAGCACUGUUAAGGCUAGGGGGUCAUCCCGACUUACCAACCCUUUGCAAACUCCGAAUACCAGUAAGUACUAUCCGGGAGACACACGGCGGGUGCUAACGUCCGUCGUGGAGAGGGAAACAACCCAGACCGCCAGCUAAGGUCCCAAAUUACUACUAAGUGGGAAACGAUGUGGGAAGGCUCAGACAGCCAGGAUGUUGGCUUAGAAGCAGCCAUCAUUUAAAGAAAGCGUAAUAGCUCACUGGUCGAGUCGGCCUGCGCGGAAGAUGUAACGGGGCUAAGUAGUAAACCGAAGCUGCGGCAAUGUGCUUUUGCACAUUGGGUAGGGGAGCGUUCUGUAAGCGGUUGAAGGUGUGUGGUAACGCAUGCUGGACGUAUCAGAAGUGCGAAUGCUGACAUGAGUAACGAUAAAGGGGGUGAAAAACCUCCUCGCCGGAAGACCAAGGGUUCCUGUCCAACGUUAAUCGGGGCAGGGUAAGUCGACCCCUAAGGCGAGGCCGAAAGGCGUAGUCGAUGGGAAACGGGUUAAUAUUCCCGUACUUCUUACAAUUGCGAUGGGGGGACGGAGAAGGCUAGGUGGGCCUGGCGACGGUUGUCCAGGUUCAAGUGCGUAGGCUUGAGAGUUAGGUAAAUCCGGCUCUUUUUAAGGCUGAGACACGACGUCGAGCACCUACGGGUGUGAAGUCAUUGAUGCCAUGCUUCCAGGAAAAGCCUCUAAGCUUCAGAUUGUAAGGAAUCGUACCCCAAACCGACACAGGUGGUCGGGUAGAGAAUACCAAGGCGCUUGAGAGAACUCGGGUGAAGGAACUAGGCAAAAUGGUACCGUAACUUCGGGAGAAGGUACGCUCUUGAUGGUGAAGUCCCUUGCGGAUGGAGCUGACGAGAGUCGCAGAUACCAGGUGGCUGCAACUGUUUAUUAAAAACACAGCACUGUGCAAAAUCGUAAGAUGACGUAUACGGUGUGACGCCUGCCCGGUGCCGGAAGGUUAAUUGAUGGGGUUAGACUUCGGUCGAAGCUCUUGAUCGAAGCCCCGGUAAACGGCGGCCGUAACUAUAACGGUCCUAAGGUAGCGAAAUUCCUUGUCGGGUAAGUUCCGACCUGCACGAAUGGCGUAAUGAUGGCCACGCUGUCUCCACCCGAGACUCAGUGAAAUUGAAAUCGCUGUGAAGAUGCAGUGUACCCGCGGCUAGACGGAAAGACCCCGUGAACCUUUACUACAGCUUGGCACUGAACAUUGACCCUACAUGUGUAGGAUAGGUGGGAGGCUUUGAAGCAGGUACGCCAGUAUCUGUGGAGCCGUCCUUGAAAUACCACCCUUGUAGUGUUGAUGUUCUAACGUCGACCCCUUAUCGGGGUUGCGGACAGUGCCUGGUGGGUAGUUUGACUGGGGCGGUCUCCUCCCAAAGAGUAACGGAGGAGCACGAAGGUGGGCUAAUCACGGUUGGACAUCGUGAGGUUAGUGCAAUGGCAUAAGCCCGCUUGACUGCGAGAAUGACAAUUCGAGCAGGUGCGAAAGCAGGUCAUAGUGAUCCGGUGGUUCUGAAUGGAAGGGCCAUCGCUCAACGGAUAAAAGGUACUCCGGGGAUAACAGGCUGAUACCGCCCAAGAGUUCAUAUCGACGGCGGUGUUUGGCACCUCGAUGUCGGCUCAUCACAUCCUGGGGCUGAAGUCGGUCCCAAGGGUAUGGCUGUUCGCCAUUUAAAGUGGUACGCGAGCUGGGUUUAGAACGUCGUGAGACAGUUCGGUCCCUAUCUGCCGUGGGCGUUGGAAGAUUGAAGGGGGCUGCUCCUAGUACGAGAGGACCGGAGUGGACGAACCUCUGGUGUUCGGGUUGUGUCGCCAGACGCAUUGCCCGGUAGCUAAGUUCGGAAUCGAUAACCGCUGAAAGCAUCUAAGCGGGAAGCGAGCCCUGAGAUGAGUCUUCCCUGAUACUUUAAGUAUCCUAAAGGGUUGUCGGAGACUACGACGUUGAUAGGUCAGGUGUGUAAGUGCUGUGAGGCAUUGAGCUAACUGAUACUAAUUGCCCGUGAGGCUUAACCAUACAACACCCAAGGGGUUU
rnacentral:rRNA from 1 species